rnacentral:rRNA from 1 species
UAGGCCUACGGGGGGCAGCAGUGGGGAAUAUUGCACAAUGGGGGGAACCCUGAUGCAGCGACGCCGCGUGAGUGAAGAAGUAUUUCGGUAUGUAAAGCUCUAUCAGCAGGGAAGAUAAUGACGGUACCUGACUAAGAAGCCCCGGCUAACUACGUGCCAGCAGCCGCGGUAAUACGUAGGGGGCAAGCGUUAUCCGGAUUUACUGGGUGUAAAGGGUGCGUAGGUGGCAGGGCAAGUCAGAUGUGAAAGUCCGGGGCUCAACCCCGGGACUGCAUUGGAAACUGUCCGGCUAGAGUGCAGGAGAG